rnacentral:rRNA from 1 species
UACGUAGGGACCAAGCGUUGUUCGGAUUUACUGGGCGUAAAGGGCGCGUAGGCGGUGUGUCAAGUCAGGCGUGAAAGCCCCGGGCUCAACCUGGGAACCGCGCUUGAGACUGGCACGCUCGAGUUCGGGAGAGGAUGGUGGAAUUCCCAGUGUAGAGGUGAAAUUCGUAGAUAUUGGGAAGAACACCGAUGGCGAAGGCAGCCAUCUGGACCGACACUGACGCUGAGGCGCGAAAGCGUGGGGAGCAAACAGG